AAAAGAUCUUGCCUCCUGUCCCUGCAUUCACUCUCUUUGCAUUUUGCUAACUCACUCUGCAGGAAGCCAGCUGCCCUGAUGUGAUCUGCCUCACGAGAGGCCCCUUAGCCAAGAAGUGAUAGCUCCAGCCAGCGAAGAACAGAGGCCUUCAAUCCAACAUGUGCAAAGACCAGAAUUCUGCCCAGAACUAUGGGAGUGAGCUUGGAAGAAGAGACUCCCAUUUCACGCCAGUUUUGAGAGAACUGCAGAUUCUCCAACACCCAGAUUGCAGCUUCUGCGACCCUGAACCAGAACCACUCACGGAAGACACACCUGGAUUCCUGACCACCAGAAAUUUUACUGUGGGUGGAAGUGUGUUCCUAGAGGAAAGAUAAUAAAGCAAAACUCUGGACUUUCAGGACUAGCGAUAUGCAGGAAAAUACUCUCCAGUGAUGCUGAGCGGUGACAGCCAGCACAGCUCCCAGUCAGCCAUGCGAUCACAAGCGGAAACAAUGAAUCCACUCGCAACCAUUCUGUACCCAGACUUCCAUUGUUUUUCACUUUCAGUACAGUGUUCAAUAAAUCA